GCCUGCAGUCUAGUGGCUAAGACACAUGACUGGGACCCUUGAGGUUGGUGGUUCAAGUCCCAGUCCAGCCA
rnacentral:tRNA from 1 species